rnacentral:rRNA from 1 species
GUUGACCUCGGAUCANGUAGGGAUACCCGCUGAACUUAAGCAUAUCAAUAAGC